UUCAAGUGCUCCAGGUGGUGGCGCAUCGCGCAGAGGCACAUCCGGAACCUUGGGGCUAUAGUGCCUAGUGUAUUAAAAAAAAAUUAAAUUUCAGAUAUAAUCAUAUAAACCCUGUGAUAAUCCAAUAUUCCAUUAAUUAACUAUAAACCCUGUGAUAAUCAAUAAAAAGGAGUUAAUAGUCAAUAGUUAGGACAAUAUCUUCGGGCUCUUCCCAGAUAACAACUUCCGGCUCUUCCUGAUCAAUAUAUUUAUCGCUUGAUGAGAAAUCUUCUUUAGCAUUCUUUUCAUAAUCAGGAUUAGAUCCUAUUUCUGAUGAUAUGCUCCUAAAGAAAUUUAAAAACAAUCAAGACGAGAAAUCUAUAAAUAGAAGAGAUGAGAAGAAUUUGUUUAUAGAAUCUAGGAUUUAAAAAAAAAUCAAGAAUGGAUGAGGAAAAAAAUCAAGGAUGGAAUAAAAAAAAUCAUGAGAAGAUACCUGAAGAAUGGAGCUUGCUGGACGCUCGCCGGAAUCUUGCUCAAUUUUCGCCGAAGCAUCUGGAGGUGGCCGGAAGUUCUGAAAUUUAG
rnacentral:lncRNA from 1 species